AUGAGCAGACGCGGGGGGAGGACGAGGAGCACGACGGCGGCCCUCCUCCCCCUCGUGCCACGACCGCUCCAUCUCCUUGAGCUCCCCCUUCCCCUUCCUCACCCCAUCACCUUUGCCGGUGGAUCCCGGCGAGGAGGAGCAGCCAAUUUCUGCCGGUGCCUCCCCCCAAUCCGCAGCACGACCGCCAGAGCCCACGUUUCUGGUGAGGUGAGCCACGGCGGCCACGCGCCUGCGCCGGCGCCCGCGGCUGACACGUCCCCGGGCAUCUCCUCCGCGUCUCUGGAUCCGGCCGCCGUCGCCGCCUCUCUUCUUGCCCCGCCGUCGCUCCUCAGGUGCUGCUCGCCUCAUCCCCCUCGCGCCGGCCCUGGCCCUGGCCCCGGCACUGGCGCCGUCGAAGGCCGCGUCGAGCGCCCGCAUCGCCCGCCCGUGCACCCGAACCCGACACGACUCAGGGCGCGCCCCAACUCCCGGCGCUGGCCGCCUCUGUCGCCUGCGUCGCCAUCUUCCUCAUCACCAAGUUCGUUAACGACUGCCCCAACCAUAGCGCCGGCAACUGCUCCGUGGGGUUCCUUCCAGCCGCUCAAGGAGAACCAGCUCCUCGGCCCAUCCUCCACCACAAAUCAAGGACUGUUGAAAAGAAAUCUUUGGCUGGUUGUCGCUGAAUUUCUCAGUAAGAGAAUAAUUGAGUAUGAAGCAACCAAGGUGAUGCUGGCCCUAAGCAUCAAUCCGUGUGUUCCGACUCUAUGA
rnacentral:rRNA from 1 species